AACAUCGCGCACCUGCGGGAACCUGCGGAGGGAUCAUUACGAGAGUGUCACCACUCCCAACCCAUUGUUUACCUACCCGUCCACCGUGCUUCGGCAGGCAGCCCUGUGGGACAGAGCCUCGCCCCCUUUGGCGGGGGGUGCCUGCCGCUUGCCAACCAAAACUCUAGCUGUUUUAGUACCAUCUGAGUCUUCCACAAAUGAACAAAACUUUUAGCAACGGAUCUCAGAUCGGAAGAGCAC
rnacentral:misc_RNA from 1 species